rnacentral:rRNA from 1 species
ACUCCUACGGGAGGCAGCAGUGGGGAAUUUUGGGCAAUGGGCGAAAGCCUGACCCAGCAACGCCGCGUGAAGGAUGAAAUCCCUCGGGAUGUAAACUUCGCAAGAACGGGAAGAAUAAGUAGGGGACAAUACCCCCUAUGAUGACGGUACCGUUUGUAAGCUCCGCCUAGCUCCGUGCCAGCAGCCGCGGUAAUACGGGGGGAGCAAGCGUUGUUCGGAUUUACUGGGCGUAAAGGGCGCGUAGGCGGUCAGCACAAGUCAAUUGUGAAAUCUCCGAGCUUAACUCGGAAAGGUCAACUGAAACUGUGCGACUAGAGUGCGGAAGGGGCAACUGGAAUUCUUGGUGUAGCGGUGGAAUGCGUAGAUAUCAAGAGGAACACCUGCGGCGAAGGCGGGUUGCUGGGCCGACACUGACGCUGAAGCGCGAAAGCCAGGGGAGCGAACGGGAUUAGAUACCCCGGUAGUCCUGGCCUUAAACGAUGAAUGCUUGGUGUCUGGGGUUAUAAAGUCCCCGGGUGCCGUCGCUAACGCUUUAAGCAUUCCGCCUGGGGAGUACGGUCGCAAGACUGAAACUCAAAGGAAUUGACGGGGACCCGCACAAGCGGUGGAGCAUGUGGUUUAAUUCGACGCAACGCGAAGAACCUUACCUGGGCUAGAAUGCCUCUGACAACCCUAGAGAUAGGGCCUCCAAGGUAAAACUUGGCAGAGUGCAAGGUGCUGCAUGGCUGUCGUCAGCUCGUGUCGUGAGAUGUUGGGUUAAGUCCCGCAACGAGCGCAACCCUUAUCUUUAGUUGCCAGCAUUAAGUUGGGCACUCUAGAGAGACUGCCGUUGACAAAACGGAGGAAGGUGGGGAUGACGUCAAGUCCUCAUGGCCUUUAUGUCCAGGGCUACACACGUGCUACAAUGGCCGGUACAGACCGCCGCAAACUCGCAAGAGGGAGCCAAUCGGAAAAAGCCGGUCUCAGUUCGGAUUGGAGUCUGCAACUCGACUCCAUGAAGUUGGAAUCGCUAGUAA